rnacentral:rRNA from 1 species
AUUGAACGCUGGCGGCAUGCUUUACACAUGCAAGUCGAACGGUAACAGGCCUUCGGGUGCUGACGAGUGGCGCACGGGUGAGUAAUGCAUCGGAACGUACCCAGAGGUGGGGGAUAACGCAGCGAAAGCUGUGCUAAUACCGCAUGUGAUCUGAGGAUGAAAGCGGGGGACCGAGCAGCAAUGUUUGGCCUCGCGCCUUUGGAGCGGCCGAUGUCGGAUUAGCUAGUUGGUGGGGUAAAGGCCUACCAAGGCGACGAUCCGUAGCUGGUCUGAGAGGACGACCAGCCACACUGGGACUGAGACACGGCCCAGACUCCUACGGGAGGCAGCAGUGGGGAAUUUUGGACAAUGGGCGCAAGCCUGAUCCAGCAAUGCCGCGUGCGGGAAGAGGGCCUUCGGGUUGUAAACCGCUUUUGGCAGGAACGAAACGGUGUCCGCUAAUACCGGGCGCUAAUGACGGUACCUGCAGAAUAAGCACCGGCUAACUACGUG